UAAAAAACAGUGCAAUACCAUUGGCCUUAAACUAUUUCCAGUGUAGAACGGCGAGAGUUGGCACAACAGAUAACGGUUUAAUUUUCAUAAUAGACGUUUUGAACGCAAACGCUUCCGCUAUUUUAGAAAAACAUCUCUUCUGUUCUAUAACUAACGGCGAUGGACAAGCGCGUUCAAUCCUUCCCCUCGUACCAUCAGGUUGUAUGGAGUAGAUGUAGAACCUCUAAAUCAAAUUCUUAACACCACUUGGGACUGCGAUACAAAAAUUUUAUAAACUACGCAGCCCCUAUAUGGACGCCUGGAUGCAGUAGGAUGCAGCUGGAGAAGCUUCAGACUUGUCAGAAUCUUAAUGUUUCCGGUGGAGCAACUACCCAAUAAGUAUUUUCCUGAAAUACGUCGACGACAUACAGGAUGAUACCGACCGGACUUCGUAUGUGACAGACUUUCGACAAGCACUGAACGCCAUUCACAGAGGAGCCAUUAACAUCUUCAUUGACUCGCUUCCCGUGAAUGGCGUACUUGGAGAUAAAACACCACUCAUCACUGACACAGAGCUCGAGUGUUUCUCACGUAACUUCGUUCUGGAUACCGUAGCAGGUUAAACACCUACUCAUCCAGACUGAACCCCCGACAUACUCAAUAUCUGCCCUGCAUGCAAUAUGUCCCGCAUAUCAUUAACCACAUCUUUGCAUGCCCCACUUUUCUAAAACCCCUUUUUCCUUGGUCCGACCCUGUCGAAACAGCUCGUUUCAUCCUCCUGGGCUUCCUGUUAGAUGACUUCGAUGACAAUUACUUUCGGAUUGACGGUUCAGCCAGGUUUGGAUAACCGUUACAAAAACAACAAUUCCCUUAUUUGGAAAAUACAUACAUAGGUGUGGGCCCAACAAAAAUAUGUUUUUUUCAGUACCAGAGCUUUUUCAUUUUCUUUAUAAUACCAAUUUUUUGGAAUACUUCCGGGAUAACAACCCUUGCAAAAAAUUUUAUCCACUCCUUCAUUCAAAUUACAGAUAGUAGUUAGAAGUCUGUCGAUAAUGGUAAACAAUUAUUUUUUAAUUUCAAUAUUUUUAAUUAAGAAACCAUUAGAAAGAGGGAUAACUUAAAUUCAUCGUGUAAAAGUGUAGCAUAAAGAGUGCCAAGUAAUAGAGACGAAGUUUUCUUACUUGAAGUUUUUAGUAUUUAAAAAGAAGUAGUAAAACGGAGAUCAUUGUGAUAACUUUUAAAAUUUUCAAUAUAGGUGUUAAAGUGGAUGUUUCACGACGCACUUAGGCCUUUAGGAGGCCCAUUGUGACUCCACCCGGACUAUAAUCCCCUCUCACUGGCAUGUCCUCUCUGAACCAUCACGUGGUCUGGAUAAACUUAUUCAAUUCAACAAGUUUUAUAAAUGCAACCUCGGAGACAUAAUCAAGAAAAUCAUGUCCUAUCGUUGUUUUUCCUUUCCUUGCAUCCAGAUAAAAGAUGUUCUACUGUCUCCUCCUCUUUUAUUUUUUGACAGCUACUGCAAUAGUGAUAGUAUGGUAUCCCUAGUCCACUGGUUUGCCUACCAAUCAGACAAUGAGCUGUUAACAAUCCUACUAGAGUUCUUAAGUCGUUUCUUUUAAAUUUCAAUAAGCGGCAUGUGCAGCCCAUUCAGACCACGUUUGUCUACUUAUUGAACGAAUGAGUGUGUUCGUUUCCACCGAGAGUCGGCUGUGCCUAUGACAUAUUUGACGAUUAAAUAUCUACAAGUGGCCAGAGGCAUCUAUAUACUACCUCUUUAUCGGAAUAUUGUCUAUAUAACACCGGUAUUACAUUCCACUUUAUGUGAAACUAUGCACUAUUGGUCAUUAUAGUGUAUAUAUGUAUAUUUAGUACUUUGUUCUACGACUCACAAUUAAACAUUCAAGCCUACUCGAGCGUGAUUUGUUUAAUUUGCCAAUGGCGUCAACGCCAGCAAUUUGCACUAAACGCUUAUCCAACCAGCCGGUAUGUUGAAUCUUCAAUAAUUAUUGCAAAUACUGAGCAUUUUUGCAUGCUUAAUGAGCAGACGCCAAUAGAAUUGCUAAAUUUCUCUUCUACUACACACAUACAUAGACAUAUGCGAAUAUUAAUACGCAGGGAAACAUUAAAAUAUUUAAUAUAUAUUAUAUUUCUAUAUAUAAUUAGCAAAAAUAAAUACACUUCAUAGCCAAUUCUCCACAAUAAAUGUGGAACGAAGAGUUUAAUAUUCAAAAAUAUUUAAAAUAUUUAUGUAUGUCAUAGAACCUAUGUAAAUAUUGAAUAGUAACACCAUUAAAAAAAUUAAAAAAAAACAACAACAAAGAAUUACCUCACUCCUAAAUCCACUUUUGUGUAUAUGUUGUUAGUGUUUUUUGAUUGUUGUUUCAAAUAGAUUGUUGAUUGUAAUUUGAAUGUGUAAAAUUAUUAUUACUGUUAUAUCCAAAAACUCGUACAACUACUGUUGGUUAUUUUCCGAAAAUAUUAUGGUAAAUCGUAUUUUCUUGCAAACACGAACAGCUGGAGUUGAAAAGUUAAGUAUGAAAAAUAAAAUUUAGUUGUUUCGCUUGAGAAAUAUGUAUCUGCAAACAUCAUCACCUUCUUCAACGCCUCGUUUAUGCUUAAUUUCCAGAAAAGCAUAAAUUCUUCACUCAAUAAAUGUCCCAAGUGAUUUACAUUCCAUUUAAUCCUUGCGGAAUGUUAACAUUUUUCGUAUUUAUUUUAAUAAUAUUUAUUAAUUUAAAGAUAUUUAGUCUUGGUCAACAAAUUAGAAUUUGCUUAGCAUUGUACACAACACGCUGCCGAAUUAAAAUAUAACAUUUCGCUCGCCAAUCGAUUGGUUUAAACAUACAUCGCGUUAUAUUAUUUCAUUAAGUAAAUGAAAAAGUGUGUAAGUGAAACAAAAGGGGUUACAACGUUAAAAUCGAAUGCUUCAAAAAUAUGUAAAGUCCAAAACGUGCAUACAUACAAUGUAACACAAAAAAAUAGAGUGUGAAAU